rnacentral:snRNA from 2 species
GUCCCUUCGGGGACAUCCAAUAAAAUUGGAACGAUACAGACAAGAUUAGCAUGGCCCCUGCUCAAUGAUGACACGCACAAAUUGAGAAAUGGUUCAAAUUUUU